rnacentral:tRNA from 1 species
UGCCGAAACCCGGGACCUUUUAGAUCUUCAGUCUAACGCUCUCCCAACUGAGCUAUUUCGGC